UUAAUGGAGAGUUUGAUCCUGGCUCAGGACGAACGCUGGCGGCGUGCCUAAUACAUGCAAGUCGAGCGAGGUUAUUUAGAAGCUUGCUUCUAAAUAACCUAGCGGCGGACGGGUGAGUAACACGUAGGCAACCUGCCCACAAGACAGGGAAAACUACCGGAAACGGUAGCUAAUACCCGAUACAUCCUUUUCCUGCAUGGGAGAAGGAGGAAAGGCGGAGCAAUCUGUCACUUGUGGAUGGGCCUGCGGCGCAUUAGCUAGUUGGUGGGGUAAAGGCCUACCAAGGCGACGAUGCGUAGCCGACCUGAGAGGGUGAUCGGCCACACUGGGACUGAGACACGGCCCAGACUCCUACGGGAGGCAGCAGUAGGGAAUCUUCCGCAAUGGGCGAAAGCCUGACGGAGCAACGCCGCGUGAGUGAUGAAGGUUUUCGGAUCGUAAAGCUCUGUUGCCAGGGAAGAACGUCUUGUAGAGUAACUGCUACAAGAGUGACGGUACCUGAGAAGAA
rnacentral:rRNA from 1 species